GAACCGCGCCCGCCGUAUACCUGAGGUUUCCUACGGAAGGUCAAUCCGCGUAGGGUUAGUCGGGCCUAAGCCGAGGCCGAAAGGCGUAGGCGAUGGACAGCUGGUUAGUAUUCCAGCACCGCAGUGGUAGCGUUUGAUGCAGAGGGGGGACCCAGAAGGGUAGGUCUCGCGGGCCUAUUGGACAUGGUCCGUUCCUGGUCUGUAGGCGUCUCCGGGUAGGCAAAUCCGCCCGGGGGUUAAGCAGAGGGGCCGGGAGAAGUGGAGACUUUGUCAAAGCGACGAGAUUGAGCCCACGCUGGCGAGAAAAGCCUCGCUGCUAGUUACCAUCGCGCCCGUACCGCAAACCGACACUGGUAGGUGGUGGUGAGAACCACAAGGCGAACGGGAGAACCCUCCUUAAGGAAUUCGGCAAAUUAGAUCCGUAACUUCGGGAGAAGGAUCGCCCCUGGAGGUGUACCGGUAUACCCGGGAAGCUGACGGGGGCCGCAGUGAGCAGGCCCAGGCGACUGUUUAUCAAAACCACAGGUCUCUGCAAAAGCGAAAGCUGACGUAUAGGGGCUGACGCCUGCCCAGUGCCGGAAGGUUAAGGGGAGAGCUUCACGGCUUGAACCGAAGCCCCGGUGAACGGCGGCCGUAACUAUAACGGUCCUAAGGUAGCGAAAUUCCUUGUCGGGUAAGUUCCGACCCGCACGAAAGGCGUAACGAUCUGGGCACUGUCUCGAGGGGGGACCCGGCGAAAUUGAAUUGACCGUGAAGAUGCGGUUGACCCGCGGCAGGACAAAAAGACCCCGUGGAGCUUUACUGCAGUUUGGCACUGGGAGUGGGCCUGGGAUGCGUAGGAUAGGUGGGAGGCGUUGAAGCCGGGCUUUUGGGCUCGGUGGAGCCAUCCUUGAAAUACCACCCUUCCUUGGUCUGCUUUCUAACUCCUGAGCAAGCAGGAGGACAGUGUCUGACGGGCAGUUUGACUGGGGCGGUCGCCUCCUAAAGAGUAACGGAGGCGCACAAAGGUCCCCUCAGGGUGGAUGGAAAUCACCCGUUGAGUGCAUUGGCAUAAGGGGGCUUGACUGCGAGACAAACACGUCGAGCAGGGGCGAAAGCCGGUCAAAGUGAUCCUACGGUUCCGAGUGGAAGGGCCGUGGCUUAUCGGAUAUAAGCUACCCCGGGGAUAACAGGCUUAUCUUGCCCGAGCGUCCACAGCGACGGCAAGGUUUGGCACCUCGAUGUCGGCUCGUCGCAUCCUGGGGCUGGAGUAGGUCCCAAGGGUUGGGCUGUUCGCCCAUUAAAGCGGUACGCGAGCUGGGUUCAGAACGUCGUGAGACAGUUCGGUCUCUAUCCGCCGUGGGCGUAGGAGGUUUGAGAGGCGCUGCCCCUAAUACGAGAGGACCGGGGUGGACAGACCUCUGGUGUGCGGGUUGUUCCGCCAGGAGCAUUGCCCGGUAGCCAUGUCUGGAUCGGAUAAGCGCUGAAAGCAUCUAAGUGCGAAGCCGACCUCAAGAUGAGACCUCCCACUGGAUAACCAGGUAAGACCACAGGAAGACUACCUGUUUGAUAGGCGCCAGGUGUAAGCACAGCAAUGUGUUCAGCUGAGGCGUACUAAUGGUCGA
rnacentral:rRNA from 1 species